rnacentral:rRNA from 1 species
GUGAGGAAUAUUGGUCAAUGGACGCAAGUCUGAACCAGCCAAGUCGCGUGAUGGAUGACUGCCUUAUGGGUUGUAAACAUCUUUUAUUAGGGGGUAAAGUGUACUACGUGUAGUAUUUUGCAAGUACCUAAUGAAUAAGCAUCGGCUAACUCCGUGCCAGCAGCCGCGGUAAUACGGAGGAUGCGAGCGUUAUCCGGAUUUAUUGGGUUUAAAGGGUGCGCAGGCGGGAUUGUAAGUCAGUGGUGAAAUCUGGACGCUCAACGUUCAACUUGCCAUUGAAACUGUGAUUCUUGAGUGUGGUUGAAGUAGGCGGAAUUCGUUGUGUAGCGGUGAAAUGCAUAGAUAUAACGAGGAACUCCAAUUGCGUAGGCAGCUUACUAAGCCAUUACUGACGCUCAUGCACGAAAGUGUGGGUAUCGAACAGGAUUAGAAACCCUAGUAGUCC